GACGAACGCUGGCGGCGUGCUUAACACAUGCAAGUCGAACGGAAAGGCCCUGCUUUUGUGGGGUGCUCGAGUGGCGAACGGGUGAGUAACACGUGAGUAACCUGCCCUUGACUUUGGGAUAACUUCAGGAAACUGGGGCUAAUACCGGAUAGGAGCUCCUGCUGCAUGGUGGGGGUUGGAAAGUUUCGGCGGUUGGGGAUGGACUCGCGGCUUAUCAGCUUGUUGGUGGGGUAGUGGCUUACCAAGGCUUUGACGGGUAGCCGGCCUGAGAGGGUGACCGGCCACAUUGGGACUGAGAUACGGCCCAGACUCUUACGGGAGGCAGCAGUGGGGAAUAUUGCACAAUGGGCGGAAGCCUGAUGCAGCAACGCCGCGUGCGGGAUGACGGCCUUCGGGUUGUAAACCGCUUUCGCCUGUGUCGAAGCGUGAGUGACGGUAAUGGGUAAAGAAGCACCGGCUAACUACGUG
rnacentral:rRNA from 1 species